GAUGAACGCUGGCGGCGUGCUUAACACAUGCAAGUCGAGCGAGAAGUUUUGAAAAGAUUCUUCGGAUGAAAUUUAAAAUGGAAAGCGGCGGACGGGUGAGUAACGCGUAGGCAACCUGCCCCAUACAAAGGGAUAGCAUUUGGAAACGAAUAUUAAUACCUUAUGAAACUUAACUAGUGCAUGCUAGGUAGGUCAAAGAUUUAUCGGUAUGGGAUGGGCCUGCGUCUGAUUAGCUAGUUGGUGAGGUAACGGCUCACCAAGGCGACGAUCAGUAGCCGACCUGAGAGGGUGAACGGCCACAUUGGAACUGAGACACGGUCCAAACUCCUACGGGAGGCAGCAGUGGGGAAUAUUGCACAAUGGGGGAAACCCUGAUGCAGCAACGCCGCGUGAACGAUGAAGGCCUUUGGGUCGUAAAGUUCUGUUCUAGGUGAUGAAAACUGACAGUAACCUAGGAGAAAGCCCCGGCUAA
rnacentral:rRNA from 1 species